GAUGAACGCUGGCGGCGUGCCUAAUACAUGCAGGUCGAGCGAACAGAUGAGGAGCUUGCUCCUCUGACGUUAGCGGCGGACGGGUGAGUAACACGUGGAUAACCUACCUAUAAGACUGGGAUAACUACGGGAAACCGGAGCUAAUACCGGAUAAUAUAUUGAACCGCAUGGUUCAAUAGUGAAAGACGGUUUUGCUGUCACUUAUAGAUGGAUCCGCGCCGCAUUAGCUAGUUGGUAAGGUAACGGCUUACCAAGGCAACGAUGCGUAGCCGACCUGAGAGGGUGAUCGGCCACACUGGAACUGAGACACGGUCCAGACUCCUACGGGAGGCAGCAGUAGGGAAUCUUCCGCAAAGGGCGAAAGCCUGACGGAGCAACGCCGCGUGAGUGAUGAAGGUCUUCGGAUCGUAAAACUCUGUUAUUAGGGAAGAACAAAUGUGUAAGUAACUAUGCACGUCUUGACGGUACCUAAUCAGAAAGCCACGGCUAACUACGUG
rnacentral:rRNA from 1 species